rnacentral:rRNA from 1 species
GACGAACGCUGGCGGCGUGCUUAACACAUGCAAGUCGGACGGUAAGGCCCUUCGGGGUACACGAGUGGCGAACGGGUGAGUAACACGUGGGUGAUCAGCCCUGCACUUCGGGAUAAGCCUGGGAAACUGGGUCUAAUACCGGAUAGGACCACUGCCUGCAUGGGGGGUGGUGGAAAGCUUUUGCGGUGUGGGAUGGGCCCGCGGCCUAUCAGCUUGUUGGUGGGGUGAUGGCCUACCAAGGCGACGACGGGUAGCCGGCCUGAGAGGGUGACCGGCCACACUGGGACUGAGAUACGGCCCAGACUCCUACGGGAGGCAGCAGUGGGGAAUAUUGCACAAUGGGCGCAAGCCUGAUGCAGCGACGCCGCGUGAGGGAUGACGGCCUUCGGGUUGUAAACCUCUUUCAGCACCGACGAAGCGCAAGUGACGGUAGGUGCAGAAGAAGGACCGGCCAACUACGUGCCAGCAGCCGCGGUAA